rnacentral:lncRNA from 1 species
GGGUCCGAAACCAAGGCGGGCUGCCAGGUGGGGCUGGACCACGUGAGCAAAAUCUGGGCGAGGCGAGCUGGGAGCGGAGGUCAGGUGGGGACUGGGCUGGAGACUGGGGGGACUCGCCUUUUUCUCUGACCGCCCACCCUUUGUGCUCAGGGGCUGUUCACCAGAACGGGCGUUGCCGGCCUGAGACUGGCGCGGUUGGCGAAGACAGCGAUGGCUGCUACGUGCAACUUCCACGUUCCCGGCCUGCCCUGGAGCUGACGGCGCUGACGGCUCCUGGGCCGGGAUCCGGCUCCCGGCCCACCCAGGCCAAGCUGCUGGCUAAGAAGCGCGUGGUGCGAAUGUUGCUGGUGAUCGUU